rnacentral:rRNA from 1 species
UAGGGAAUAUUGCACAAUGGGGAACCCGUAGCAUGCAGCGACGCCGCGUGAAGGAAGAAGUAUCUCGGUAUGUAAAGCUCUAUCAGCAGGGAAGAAAAUGACGGUACCUGACUAAGAAGCCCCGGCUAACUACGUGCCAGCAGCCGCGGUAAUACGUAGGGGCAAGCGGUUAUCCGGAUUUACUGGGUGUAAAGGGAGCGUAGACGGAGAGGCAAGUCUGGAGUGAAAGCCCGGGGCUCAACCCCGGACGUGCUUUGGAAACUGUUUUUCUAGAGUGUCGGAGAGGUAAGUGGAAUUCCUAGUGUAGCGGUGAAAUGCGUAGAUAUUAGGAGGAACACCAGUGGCGAAGGCGGCUUACUGGACGAUGACUGACGUUGAGGCUCGAAAGCGUGGGGAGCAAACAGGAUUAGAUACCC